CGGGAUCUAGUGUGACGCAAUAUUUUGGAUAUCGACCGAUAUGAAACGAGAAGAAAAAAUGACACCGAUAUUUUUAACGUGGUUCGGCCAAACUGCCUACGUCCACGGACCCACACCAAUAUAUUAGAGAAUCUCAAAAGGAGGAGUACAACAAAAAUACCACACUGUAUUUUGUAUCUGCCUACGCAGAGGCUAUCUCUCAACUCACUUUUAUCACUCGUGUAUAACUUCCACACUGAAGUUUUCUCUCACAAGAUUUUUCUCUCUCUCUCUUUCUCUAUCUCUCUCUAGCAGAAAGCUUUGAUUGUUG
rnacentral:lncRNA from 1 species